rnacentral:lncRNA from 1 species
GGCGCAGCAAACGAAGGAGUAAUGUGCACGUGUUUUUUGUUGUAAUAACAAUCAUAUGCGAUAUUUAUCAGAUGAAUAUAAAUCUAGCAAAAGAUAUGAGUUGCUAUCUGUUAAAUUCUGGAAAAUGGAGUGUCUUUUAUUGUUUCAAUAGGCAGUCCAUUCGACUUCCAGUAAAGCAAAUUGGUGCUUUGAGUCUGUUUAGAUGGGAAAAUCGACCAGGAAAAUAUCAUCAUUACGAUGGAAAGGGACCAUUAUUUCAUCGAACUAGGAUAGCACCAAACAAUGUAAAGAUGUGUUCAUAUUUAUUUCAAUAUCAUCAUUACGAUGGAAAGGGACCAUUAUUUCAUCGAACUAGGAUAGCACCAAAC